rnacentral:rRNA from 1 species
GACGAACGCUGGCGGCAUGCCUAACACAUGCAAGUCGAGCGAGUAGAUCCCUUCGGGGUGAAGCUAGCGGCGGACGGGUGAGUAACACGUGGGCAACCUGCCUCAUAGAGGGGGAUAGCCUUCCGAAAGGAAGAUUAAUACCGCAUAAGAUUGUAGCUUCGCAUGAAGCAGCAAUUAAAGGAGUAAUCCGCUAUGAGAUGGGCCCGCGGCGCAUUAGCUAGUUGGUGAGGUAACGGCUCACCAAGGCGACGAUGCGUAGCCGACCUGAGAGGGUGAUCGGCCACAUUGGGACUAAGACACGGCCCAGACUCCUACGGGAGGCAGCAGUGGGGAAUAUUGCACAAUGGGGGAAACCCUGAUGCAGCAAUGCCGCGUGAGUGAUGACGGCCUUCGGGUUGUAAAGCUCUGUCUUCGGGGACGAUAAUGACGGUACCCGAGGAGGAAGCCACGGCUAACUACGUGCCAGCAGCCGCAGUAA